AUUUUCAUCUGCGAAAUUCUUCGGUGUUCUUAUUCUGAUGAUUCUAAAUCCGUGUUGUAACUCUUAACCUUAGGGCUCAAUCCCCUUUUGAUCAAGGUACAAUAAUUCUCUUGCUUCAAUUUUUCACUUCAUAGUUUGAACAAUAUUUUAGCCAUUAAAGCAUUUUUAGGUAACAAUAUUAGGCUUAUGACCUCUUUCCAUCGCAUUAUCACUCGAAUUGUGAGCUUAAUUUCUUUUAUUGGUAAUUUCUAUGGUGUAAAUAGUUGAUGCAUUACUAGUUUGUGAUGAAGAAAAUGCUCAGAGUGUGUGUUGUGUCGUGUGAUGUGAUUGAAAGAGUUUAUAAGCCUACUUUUGAUACUUACAAUGCUUUGAUGUCUGAAUGUUGUUUGAAACUGUAAUGUGAAUAAGGCAAGAAAAUUAUAUUGUAAAAGUGUUCAAGAGAGGUUGUUCCCUGAUGCUAGGAGUUAUAACUGAUAACUGAUUAGAUAUAUGCCCUUGGAGUUGGUGUUGAAGGAAACUGCAGUUAGUUAAUCCCUGUUAUGGUUUGUUCUGUCUUCUGUGAACAUUGAUGAAUGUUGUGGAAUGUGCUAAUGAUAGGGAACAAUGACGGCGCUUGUUGACUGCAACUGGUGCCACAAUGCCAUGUUGCUGUGGAAUUCAGUUAUAGCCUAUUGAUAUAAUUUAAGAUUCUGGUGUUUAUACACAUGUCAUUUGAAUUGUUUUUGUUAUAUUUUAGCUGCUAGAUUGCUUGCAGGUUGCAUUCUUUUCUAUUACAGGUACAUAAAGUUUCGGCUGAGGAAGGGUAAUACUGGUCUUAUUUCAAGGUAAGGGUUUAUCUUCAGGUUCAAUGAGUUCGUCCACUAAUGGGAAAACCUAAGAGUCAAAUCCAGUUGAGGGUGAAGUACAAUUGGAACUUGGAAGGACCGAAUUGCCGAAGUUUUACAUUCUUUAUCACCAUCUUUCUCUUGCUGAUUGUAUCCUUCUUGGUUGUGUUUAUAUUAAGGCUCCAGAAGUCAUAUAACAGCAUUAAAGCAAGAUGAGUGCCAUCUCAAAGUCUGCAUUUGACUUUCCUAUUGAAGAGGGUUAUACCUGCUAAUGAGAUUGUCAUCUAUUGAUGUCAUAAUAAAAGAUUAAAAGUACAAGCAUAUGUAUGAAAUGCUUAAAAAACACACAUUAUUUGAUUGCAUUUGGAAGACUAUUAAGAUGGUAGGAGCUAGAGUCAAAUACUUUUGCUAAUGUAGUUGAAUGUCUAUAUAAUUUGUAUUAGCCGUACUAUGGUAGUUUUAGCCCCAUUUGUUUAGGCUGUAACUAAAAAGUUGUAACUUUAUGUUUCCAGAACAAUUCAUGCUUAUUAGGGAAAAUUUUUAAACACUUGUCAAUUUACUCUUCUUUUCCACUAAUUCUGGCAUUCAGUUCCAUUCGGGUUAUUUUUUUUAAAGCUGAUCAUAACUCACCCUAACCACAUGUCUGUAUGGAUUUAUGCCAACUUUAUCUAUUAAGAGAAACUUUGGCAAUUUUCAGAUGAAGCAAUCAAAUCAGCUAAUCUGGUCUUGUUAGCUAAUUAUGGCUUCCCAUCCUUACCUUGUUAAUGGACUUUUCUUGUAGCUUCAAGCAACUUUUGGGUCAAAUUUUGCCUACUGAAGAUGAUGGAAGAAAAGGGGUGUGAACAACAAUUAUAUUC
rnacentral:lncRNA from 1 species